rnacentral:rRNA from 1 species
CAGUAGCCACGGGAAUACGUAGGGUGCGAGCGUUAAUCGGAAUUACUGGGCGUAAAGCGUGCGCAGGCGGUUCGUUAAGACAGAUGUGAAAUCCCCGGGCUUAACCUGGGAACUGCAUUUGAAACUGGCAGGCUAGAGUCUUGUAGAGGGGGGUAGAAUUCCAGGUGUAGCGGUGAAAUGCGUAGAGAUCUGGAGGAAUACCGGUGGCGAAGGCGGCCCCCUGGACAAAGACUGACGCUCAGGUGCGAAAGCGUGGGGAGCAAACAGGAUUAGAUACCCCCGUAGUCCUGUCUCUUAUACA